CCGGGCGGGAGGCGGGUGGGGUCUGGGGCUCCGUGCACCCCGCGCCGGGGAUGCUUUCUCCCUAGCUUGUUGCGCCGUCCGGUUCUGCCCCAGCCUUAGAUCUCAGCUCUGAGCUGCCCUCACAUCCCUGCAGAUCUUUUCUGGCCACACUGGUGGCCCGCGGGGUAUGGCUGCUUCCGUCUCGCGGCGUUGGCCUCCCUGACUGGCCGCCGGUGUAGGGCGCCGUGGGCGGGGUCCCUGGGGCGAGGCUGCCUGGCCUCCGCGGUUGGUUCGGCGGCCGCGGGGCUGCAGCUCCCGGCUCGCACUCCAUCAUCGACGGAUGACAGCGGGAACGGUGGGAGUUCAUUACAGGGACCAUGAAUUGUUGGAGAGGAAUCUGAAGAAACGUGCUGGAUGUCCCCAGAGAAGGAGCUGAACCAUUUGAGUGGGGGCUUCACUGACUCUCCCCACACACAGGGCACCGGGGGAGAGCAGUCACAUGACCGGCAGGCGGGGGUUUUGACCCUGGUGGGAGGGGAUGAGGAGGGCACCAGUCCGGCCCUGAGACAACCCCCAAGACCAGCCCUGACUGGGACACUCUGCAGGAUGUCAAGCAGUGCCCCCAAAAGCUGUCAAGGCCGUCCUAGACCAGCGGGGCCUCAGGAGAUGGUGCAGAGUCCUGGACCAGACAAACGGCACUGGGAAAGCAGGAGCCCAAAGGAAGGCUGGAAUUCAGGGAAGAGCCACGUGCCAGGCUGUGACGAAGGCGACAAGAUGAAACAGUAGGGGGGCGGGGGAGGCAUCCAAACUCUAUGUGCUGUCUUUGCACUACUCUGUAAAUCUAACAUUAUUCGGAAGUGAAAGUUAAAAAUCACUCCGGC
ensembl:lncRNA novel transcript